UCCAUCGAAGUUCUCAGUUACUAAGGCUUUGGAGCCAUUUGGUAUAGUUCAUAAAAAACGUUUCUAGCGUUUUUUCGUGUCAAUAGAACGAAAAAACGCUGAAAACUGUUUGGUAUGUUUAGGCUCCGUUCCAAUUUUUUCGAAACGGAAGUGUGGUAAGAAACGAAUAUGGCCCGAUUUCACGAAACGCUCAGAGGCUGUUCCGUCGGCCACGUUUCGUUCCAAAUUAAUAGUGGAAGGAACUUUCGUUCCCGAUUGUCCGCCGCGAUAGAGAGAGGAUAGCAGAGAGGAAAGAAGAACGAGCGCCCUGUACAAGAAAUCUUCACCAAAGAGACAGAGAUCGAUUAGCUUAACAAAUUGCUGGUUUCGAAUAGUUUCGAACUCGCACAGAGAGAGGAGAGAAGAAGGAGAAGAAGGAGCUCGCCCCCUUGUGGAAUCUCCUCAGCAGAGCAGGUAUUGGGACAAAUUUUAGGGUUUUUCUAGACCCCUUAUACAGAGAGGUAAAGUCUUCUUCUUCUCUUCUAUUUCGUCUUCUUCUCUUCUAUUUCUUCUUCUUCUCCUUUGCUUCCUGAAUCCAUACACCUCCUGUAUGCGUCUUCUUCCCCAUUUCUUAUUGUUUCUCUGUUUUUUUGAUUUACCUGUUGUUAACGAGUCAACCGAGUGGUGAGAGAUUUGUUGAAUCUCUUUCAUACCUGUUUUUUCUAAUAUGCAUUUCAUAAGAAAGACUACCUUCCACCCCAUGGACUGUGGAAUUUUAUGAAGCUUAAAGCAUAUCAAGUUAUCUAAUAGUACUGUACACAAAGAAAAACUCACAUUUUGGACAAUUCUCUGUGUAAAUAGCAUCCCAUAUCCUCCUAGCUGAUGGAACAGUAUAGCCAGUGAAUCGUUCAGGGUUCAGUUGGAGAUUUACAUAUGUCAUCUCAGCUGCAAACACAAAUAAGUGUAUAGUUUCUCUCAGUUUUGUCAAGAUGAAGCAUAAUGUACAACUACAAUGACAACAUUCUAUACUAGAACAAUAAAUCAGAAAACAUGGAUUGCUAACUAUGGCC